AUGGAAAAGCACGACGAAGUUGAUGAAUUUCUUUCAAGCCUUAACCCGCUCCAACUAGAGGAAUACAACGAGCAUGUAAAGAUGGGCGUUGGAUUCGAUGUAAUCAACACAUGGCUGAAUGACCACGAAAGCUAUGAAUUCAACAAAGAUCCCACGCCGUAUCUGACAAUCUUGCAGCAAGAAUCAGGAGAACAUUCAAUGCCUCAAUCAUCUGAGAACAGCCCAGACAAGAAAAUCUCGGUCAAGAAGAGACCGGUAAAGCCUUCAAGAAAGCUGCAUGGAAAAAUUCCUACUUUUGUCCCAGGAGAUUUCAAAUUUAUGAACAAAGCCAGAGCACUUCAUGAAUACCUAUUCAGCAAAGAAGGACAGGACGAAUGCGGAGAUCUAAACGUAUAUAUUAGCUCGAAGCGACCCGAUUGGAUUACAGGAAAACAAAUGAUGGAACAGCUACGGAAAGGAGAUCAUGGACAGAUGGAGGGAUCCAUCGCAAACGCAUUGUUCGAAGAAUGGACAGUACAACAACAAUACAACACAACCGAUAAAGCCAUACUUCCCGCAGAAUUUGCAAACAUCGUGCUCGGUGUUAAAAUUGGAGAAAAACGAGGACUAGCAGAAUUCAAUGAGGACGAAGCAUUGGAACAAUUUGCACCCCUUGUAACAGGGAAGGAACUUUUAAAGAAAAAGCUGAUUAUGAUACCUCACAACACAGCUAAACACUACACAUUGUACGUGCUCAACAAGUACACGAGCUCCAUCGACAUACUUGACUCACUGAAUUACAGAGACGGAGACGGAAAGAAUACAUGGAAAACAUAUCAUAAGGAUCACCCAGAACUGGGUACCCAAUGCGGACACUUCAUGGUUCAAUUUGCAAAAUACUGGAAUGGCAUUGAUCUCAUAAAAGAUGAUGAGGAUUUCGAUCAAAGCAACGUAGAUGCCGAGUGGAAACCAGAGUUCCUUUUACAGCCAUAUUUGGUGAAACAAACCAAGUAA
rnacentral:rRNA from 1 species